rnacentral:rRNA from 1 species
AUUGAACGCUGGCGGCAGGCCUAACACAUGCAAGUCGAGCGGAGCGGCGGACGAGUGAGUACUGCCUAGGAAUCUGCCUGGUAGUGGGGGAUAACGUCCGGAAACGGGCGCUGAUACCGCAUACUAUCAGAUGAGCCUAUGUCGGAUUAGCUAGUUGGUGGGGUAAAGGCCUACCAAGGAGACGAUCCGUAACUGGUCUGCAAGGAUGAUCAGCCACACUGGAAAGGAGACACGGUCCAGGCUCCGACGGGAGGCAGCAGUGGGGAAUAUUGGACAAUGGGCGAAAGCCGGAUCCAGCCAUGCCGCUUGUGUGAAGAAGGUCUUCGGAUUGUAAAGCACUUUAAGUUGGGAGGCGUUACCAACAGAAUAAGCACCGGCUAACUUCGUGCCAGCAGCCGCGGUAAUUC